rnacentral:rRNA from 1 species
CCUACGGGUGGCAGCAGUGAGGAAUAUUGGUCAAUGGGCGGGAGCCUGAACCAGCCAAGCCGCGGGAGGGAAGAAGGUACAGCGUAUCGUAAACCUCUGUUGUCAGGGAACAAAGGCGGGGACUAGGCCCCGGAUGAGGGUACCUGAAGAAAAAGCAUCGGCUAACUCCGUGCCAGCAGCCGCGGUAAUACGGAGGAUGCGAGCGUUAUCCGGAUUUAUGGGGGUUAAAGGGUGCGCAGGCGGCCUGUUAAGUCAGCGGUAAAAGCCCGGGGCUCACCCCCGGCGAGCCGUUGAAACUGGCGGUCUGGAUUUGGCGCGCAUUACGCGGCAUGCGCGGUGUAGCGGUGAAAUGCUUAGAUCUCGCGCAGAACCCCGAUUGCGAAGGCAGCGUACCGGCUCCACACUGACGCUGAGGCACG